rnacentral:rRNA from 1 species
GAAUCUUGCGCAAUGGGCGAAAGCCUGACGCAGCGACGCCGCGUGAGUGAUGAAGGCCUUCGGGUUGUAAAGCUCUGUGGAGGGGGACGAAUAAGUCGGAGCGAAUAGCUCUGCUGAUGACGGUACCCCUUUAGCAAGCACCGGCUAACUCUGUGCCAGCAGCCGCGGUAAGACAGAGGGUGCAAACGUUGUUCGGAAUUACUGGGCGUAAAGCGCGUGUAGGCUGCUCGGAAAGUCGGAUGUGAAAGCCCUGGGCUCAACCCAGGAAGUGCAUUCGAAACUCCCGAGCUCGAGUUUCGGAGAGGAAGGCGGAAUUCUCGGUGUAGAGGUGAAAUUCGUAGAUAUCGAGAGGAACACCGGUGGCGAAGGCGGCCUUCUGGACGAUGACUGACGCUGAGACGCGAAAGCGUGGGGAGCAAACAGG